rnacentral:tRNA from 1 species
UCAUUACUGAAAAGAGAUCUUUCGUAAAGUCAGAGACUUUAGAAUUACAAUUGUAUUAAUGAA